UCUUAUGGUAACAGAAUGUCCUGGUUC
rnacentral:piRNA from 1 species